AAAUUUACUUGAUGGUUUGUUUAGAAGAGAAACCAUGGCCCCGUUUUUAUAAGAUAUCCAGGAUUGAAUAUAUGGUAAAUGUUCAUUUUUGGUAAGAAUGUGUCAGAGACCUAAUCAGAAUUGCUCGAUCCUAUCUUGAUGCAUCAUCUCUCUGUUUUGGAAAAUAUGUCAUGCAUUAUCCAUAUCAAAUAAGAGAUGACGUAUCUGAUAUAUAUGAUGAUUGGGUCAAUAUUUAUUGCCUG
rnacentral:lncRNA from 1 species